rnacentral:lncRNA from 1 species
GAAGAGGACCCUGGGAAGGUGGCUCCCGCCUCACUCCUAGAGUGAAAUCCUCGCAGCCCUGCCCUCGCGGGCGGAGCAGAGACGCCGCCGCUUGGCCGGUUCACGCCUGUCACACAAAGCCGCCGAGGGUCGGCUGCGCCCCUGGCAAGGCUGUAGGGCUGGGGAUACUGAGUAUGACAGGCGAGGUCCCUGCUCUCAAGAACUUACAUGGGAGAGAAGGGGAGACAAGAUAAACAGGAGCCAGAGAAUUCUCGUAGCUGUGAUUAGACAUCAACCUUGGGCAUGCUAAACAUUUCAGCCUGGACACCCUGAGAAGAGCCAGUGCCACUGGUGACAGCUGCUUCUGUGCGGGCUUUUGCUUGGCCAGAGAGGCAGGACCUUCUCCCUGGCAUUUUGAGGAGUGGUGCCGGGUGGGCAGUGACUGCACUAGCAACAGUCUAUACCAAGAGAAGACCUCAAAUUCCCAGAGAAGAAAGGCAGCGAGGCCAAGAAAUGCUGCCGCCGCUUAACAAGUGAAGAUGCAUACUGGAGAAUAGGAACUGAACACGCGAAGGAGUUUCGGCUUUACUGCCUUCUCUCCUAGCAUUGAACAGAUCUUCUCUGCUGUUGAUUAUUCUCCAUGAAUCAUCAUCCAUAGAAAGUGACUGAGGCAAUAGAGAGUGAAUAAUGAAUCUCUCAAAUAGUCUUUUGUGUUUCUGCCUGGAGGGUUUUGGAAAUAACUUGCAUCUUAAUCUUUCUGACUUAGAAUCAUAGAAUUUGGGAGCUGAAAAGGACCUUCAUCAGGGCAUGUGGCCUCACAGAAAGACUGGAAGAAAAGAUUUGUGGGUAUGAGCCUCUGGUUCAUCACUAAAAAUAGGCCUAGUCUAACAUAUAUUGGAGGCUUUCCUUGUGUCAGGUACUCAUUUAUUCUUCCAAAACCUUGGGAGGUAGGUGCUGCUAUUCCUCCAUUCUGCAGAGGAGGAAGAGAUGAGGAGACAGUAGAUCACCAGAGGGCAGUGUGAGGGGUGUGCUGGAACCAUCAUGUGGAACUGGCUCUGGUUCCAGAAUCCACAUCCUCUCGGUCAUUCCACUCCCACAUCAAGUGGCUUUGGACAAGUAAUUUAACUUCUUUGGAUCUCAGUUUUCUCCUCCGUGAUCUCUAAAGUUUAAAAAUUACUAACAGUCUGCAUCUGCCACCCAAGCAUGUGAUUUUACAAGUCAGAAAAGUGUAGCGCAGAAAUGUUAAGUGACCUGCCCUAGGUCACCCAGGUUGCUAAGGGCAGAAUCAGCACAGAAACCCAGGCCCAGUGACCACUGCCCCCAGGCAAGACCUCCUUCCCUUCCACUGCACUUUGGCAGGUGUUCUAGGGGAAUCCAACUCCUUGCCUUAGAGGAGACCUGUUCAAUGAUAUCAGAUAGACUGGAGAUGUUACGUUUUGGUGUGGCCAAUCACAACACCAGGAUGAGCUUAGGAGGCUGGUGAUAUUUGUCUAUCUAAGCACCCCCAACCUAUCUAUCUGUCUGCUGUUUGUCUAUCUUUCUCAGGUUAUGCAUAGUGACCAAACCCCGCCUGGUAACUGUAGGGAAAGAGCAUGACUGGUGUGUUACAGCUACACACGCCCCCUGGUGGUAUUUCCAGUUGUUUGUCCUCUUCAUGCAAAUGUUGCCACCUUGUGCCAGCUCUCUCACCUAGCUUCCUUCAUGACGACAGUGGUUGCAAUUCUGCUCCUCUCUCUGCCUUCCCCUGUCCUUGGCUCCCCAUGUCCAGAAUCUGAUCAUUUACUGGUGUGCACCCUGGGAUGUGAUGUGUGCUUUGGGAGGAGACAGGACCCAACAGUAUCUCAGCUGUGCUCUGGUAAUCAGUGUGCACCACAUUACAAGCAUCCUCAUCCCAGUAUCCUCCCUAUUGAAAAAGAAAUGGGAAAGGGGUGGAUGUGUCAAUAAACACAACAUUGAAGGCAUCUGAAAUAGAACAAGGACAUCCUGGGUGAGGCAUU